UACGUAGGGUGCAGGCGUUAAUCGGAAUUACUGGGCGUAAAGCGUGCGCAGGCGGUCUUUUAAGUCAGAUGUGAAAUCCCCGGGCUUAACCUGGGAACUGCGUUUGAAACUGAAAGGCUAGAGUGUGGCAGAGGGGGGUGGAAUUCCACGUGUAGCAGUGAAAUGCGUAGAGAUGUGGAGGAACACCGAUGGCGAAGGCAGCCCCCUGGGCCAAUACUGACGCUCAGGCACGAAAGCGUGGGGAGCAAACAGG
rnacentral:rRNA from 1 species